GGCUUGCUCCCAGGCGUCGAGUGGCGGACGGGUGAGUAAUACUUAGGAAUCUACCCAGUAGCGGGGGACAACUCGGGGAAACUCGAGCUAAUACCGCAUACGCUCUACGGAGGAAAGCAGGGGAUCUUCGGACCUUGCACUAUUGGAUGAGCCUAAGUCGGAUUAGCUUGUUGGUGAGGUAAAGGCUCACCAAGGCGACGAUCCGUAGCUGGUCUGAGAGGACGAUCAGCCACACUGGGACUGAGACACGGCCCAGACUCCUACGGGAGGCAGCAGUGGGGAAUAUUGGACAAUGGGGGCAACCCUGAUCCAGCAAUGCCGCGUGUGUGAAGAAGGCCUGCGGGUUGUAAAGCACUUUCAGUAGAGAAGAAAAGCCUAGGGUUAAUACCCCUGAGUCUUGACGUUACCUACAGAAGAAGCUCCGGCUAACUCCGUG
rnacentral:rRNA from 1 species